UACAGAGGCCUCAAGCGUUGUUCGGAAUUAUUGGGCGUAAAGCGGAUGUAGGUGGCUGCGCAAGUCAGAUGUGAAAGCCCUGGGCUUAACCCGGGAAGUGCGUCUGAUACUGCGUGGCUGGAGUGCGGUAGAGGGAAGUGGAAUUCCUGGUGUAGGGGUGAAAUCCGUAGAUAUCAGGAGGAAUACCAAUGGCGAAGGCAACUUCCUGGCCCGUAACUGACACUCAGAUCCGAAAGCGUGGGGAUCAAACAGG
rnacentral:misc_RNA from 1 species